CACGUAGGGUGCGAGCGUUGUCCGGAAUUAUUGGCGUAAAGAGCUCGUAGGCGGUCUGUCGCGUCGGCCGUGAAAACCUGCAGCUUAACUGUGGGCGUGCGGUCGAUACGGGCAUCACUGGAGUUCGGCAGGGAGGACUGGAAUUCCUGGUGUAGCGGUGAAAUGCGCAGAUAUCAGGAGGAACACCGGUGGCGAAGGCGGGUCUCUGGGCCGAUACUGACGCUGAGGAGCGAAAGCGUGGGGAGCAAACAGG
rnacentral:rRNA from 1 species